AGUAAGCCUGCGUUAAGGAUUGAAAUGGCAUCCUUUUUUCUUUUUCUGAAAAAAGAUAUAAUGGAAAGCCUGACCCUGA
rnacentral:sRNA from 1 species